UUUUUGUGCAAAAUAUUCCUCUAUAAAAGAUGAAGUAAACUGUUUUGAGAUCAGUGUUUGAUUCAAAGUAAUCAAAAGCUAUUCUCAAGAUGUUCAAAUUGCUUCUCGUUGUCUUCGCUGCCCUCUUGGCUCUCGCCAUUGCAGCUCCGGGCCCUCAACCACAACCACAAAUUUACUCCGCUGUUGUUCCUGGUGUUUACCCUGCUGGCUGGGUCUCUCCCUAUGCUUACUCAGGUGUCGCUUACGUUUAAAGUCAGCUAAUGUCUUUCCGGAUUUCUGUUACUUAUAUCAAAAAAUGUAAAAAAAAUAUAUUAAGUUAGUUAAA